GUUAUGGGGCUAUAGUAAGGUUAAAGGUUUUUGGCGUUAGGGUUAAAAUCACUGUCCAAAACCUUUUUAGGAACAUGUUUCAGACCUUUUGGAGUUGGUUACACCAAAAAAAAAUGUAAAAUGAAAAAAAAAUAUUUGGGGUGUUCGGGCUUCCUGAAGGUAAUACCCGGGUAUUAGGUUAUGGGGCUAGGGUAAGGUUUAAGGUUUUUGGCGUUAGGGUUAAAAUCACUGUCCAAAACCUUUUAAGGAACAAGAUUCAGACCUUUUGGAGUUGGUUACACCAAAAAAAAUGUAAAAUGAAAAAAAAAAUAUUUGGGGUGUUCGGGCUUCCUGAAGGUAAUACCCGGGUAUUAGGUUAUGGGGCUAGGGUAAGGUUUAAGGUUUUUGGCGUUAGGGUUAAAAUCACUGUCCAAUAUUUUUAAGGAACAUGUUUCAGACCUUUUGGAGCUAGUUAGACCAAAAAAAAAAAAAAAAAGAAAAAAAUAUAUAUUUGGGGUGUUCGGGCUUCCUGAAGGUAAUACCCGGGUAUUAGGUUUUGGGGCUAGGGUAAGGUUUAAGGUUUUUGGCGUUAGGGUUAAAAUCACUGUCCAAUAUUUUUUAAGGAACAUGUUUCAGACCUUUUGGAGUUAGUUCGACCAAAAAAAAAAGAAAAAAAAAAAAAAAAUAUUUUGGGUUUUCGGGCUUCCUGAAGGUAUUAGGUUUUGGGGCUAGUGUAAGGUUUAAGGUUUUUGGCGUUAGGGUUAAAAUCACUGUCCAAAACCUUUUAAGGAACAAGAUUCAGACCUUUUGGAGUUGGUUACACCAAAAAAAAUGUAAAAUGAAAAAAAAUAUAUUUGGGGUGUUCGGGCUUCCUGAAGGUAAUACUAGGUUUCUGGGCUAGGGUAAUGUUUAAGGUUUUUGGCGUUAGGGUUAAAAUCAGUGUCCAAAACCUUUGUAGGAACUCUUUUCCAACCUUUGAGAGCAAGUUAGACCAAAACAAAAAUAAAAAUAAAAAUAUAUAUUUGGGGUGUUCGGGCUUCCUGAAGGUAAUACCCGGGUAUUAGGUUAUGGGGCUAGGGUAAGGUUUAAGGUUUUUGGCGUUAGGGUUAAAAUCACUGUCCAAUAUUUUUUAAGGAACAUGUUUCAGACCUUUUGGAGUUAGUUAGACAAAAAAAAAAAAAAAAAAUGAAAAAAAAAUAUUUGGGGUGUUCGGGCUUCCUGAAGGUAAUACCCGGGUAUUAGGUUAUGGGGCUAGGGUAAGGUUUAAGGUUUUUGGCGUAAGGGUUAAAAUCACUGUCCAAAACCUUUUUAGGAACAUGUUUCAGACCUUUUGGAGUUGGUUACACCAAAAAAAAAUGUAAAAUGAAAAAAAAUAUAUUUGGGGUGUUCGGGCUUCCUGAAGGUAAUACCCGGGUAUUAGGUUAUGGGGCUAGGGUAAGGUUUAAGGUUUUUGGCGUUAGGGUUAAAAUCACUGUCCAAAACCUUUGUAGGAACUCUUUUCCAACCUUUUGGAGUUAGUUAGACCAAAAAAAAAAAAGAAAAAUGAAAAAAAAAUAUUUGGGGUGUUCGGGCUUCCUGAAGGUAAUACCCGGGUAUUAGGUUAUGGGGCUAGGGUAAGGUUUAAGGUUUUUGGCGUUAGGGUUAAAAUCACUGUCCAAAACCUUUUUAGGAA
rnacentral:lncRNA from 1 species